UGCGGAAUAGAGCAGCCUGGCAGCUCAUCGGGCUCAUAACCCGAAGGUCAUAGGUUCAAAUCCUAUUUCCGCUA
rnacentral:tRNA from 1 species